rnacentral:rRNA from 1 species
UCGGCAUGGUCUGACUUAUUAUUUAUCUUGUUUUAUUUAUUUGUUAUUAAUUGUUUUAUUUAAUUGAAGAAUCAUUUAGUUGUUGUAUAUUUGUGAUUAAAUUCUUUUUACUAUAGAUUAUUUGUACCGUAGGGGUAUGAUUUGUGUUAUUUUAUUUUUAAAAGCUGAUUUUGUUUGUUGUACCUUGUGUAUCAGGGUUCAUUGAAUUUUAUUAUUUAUUUUUGUUUCCCGAUUUUAAAGGAGUUAAUGGUUUAUUUUAGUUAGUGUUUUAUCAUUAUUAAUAAUAGGCUGUUGGUAGUGAAAUGUUAUUCGUCUUUGUUGGUUUCUGGUUUUUCAAGAAAUGAAUUUAAUUCAUGCUCUUUGUUUAAUUUUUACUUUUAUUUUAUUUCUUUUUAUUUGGUGCUAAGAUUGAGGGGGAUCAGCUCCUUGUUUUAUUUUUAUAAUUUUUCUUAUUAUUUAGUUUUGUGGAUUUUAUGGUGAUUUUCAAUUUGAUUAUGUUAAAAUUUUAUUUGUUCUUUUGUUUAUUUGGAUUGUUGAUUUAAUUUGUUUAUUGGAAUGUUUCCUUUACUUGUUUUAUUGGAUAGUAAUUAUUGUGUAAUUAGUAAAUUAUUUUAUUUUAUGUUGUUAUUUUUUUAUGUUAAAUUCUUUUGAGGAAUUAGGCAAAUAUUUCAUGUCCGCCUGUUUAACAAAAACAUCUCUUCUUGUUAGUUUUUGAAGUAUGGCCUGCCCACUGACUGUUUGUUGAAGGGCCGCGGUAUUUUGACCGUGCAAAGGUAGCAUAAUCAUUAGUUCUUUAAUUGUGAUCUGGUAUGAAUGGCUUGACGAGGCAUGUGCUGUCUUAAGAGUUAGAAUAUUUAGUUGAAUUUGGUUUUUGAGUUAAAAUUCUUAAAUGUUUUUAUGGGACGAGAAGACCCUAUAGAGUUUGACAUAGUUUUUCUUUUUAUUAAUUUGUUUGUUUUAUUUAUUAAUUGAUUAAUGUGUUUUGUUGGGGUGAUGGGAGGAAUUUAUUUAACUCCUCUUUACUAUUUUAUAUUUAUGUAUAUUAUUUUGAUCCAUUUAUUUUGAUUAUAAGAUUAAAUUACCUUAGGGAUAACAGCGUUAUCUCCCUUGAGAGUUCUUAUUGGCGGGGAGGUUUGCGACCUCGAUGUUGGAUUAAGGUUAAUUUUUGGUGUAGCAGCUAAAGGUGAUUGGGUCUGUUCGACCUUUAAAAUCUUACAUGAUCUGAGUUCAGACCGGCGUGAGCCAGGUUGGUUUCUAUCUAUAAUACUUUUUUAUGCCUUAGUACGAGAGGACCGGGCAUUUGGAAUAAUUUUAUUUUUGUGAUUAUUAUUAAUUGUAUUUGCUAUUUUGGCAGAUAAGUGCAUUGGAUUUAGAAUCUAUUAA